rnacentral:rRNA from 2 species
AGGUUCGAGGUGGAAGUGUGGCGACACAUGGAGCUGACGAAUACUAAUCGAUCGAGGACUUAACCAAA